CUCAGGGUCACAGCUUCGGCUGCAAUCAAUCAAUCAAUCUCCUGAAUCCCAAGUUCAGGUAGUUUUGGAAAUUUAUACCCAGCAUGUAAGAGGAGGGACUCAGAAGUUCACAGUCUGCAGAAGAUCACAUAAAAGCAGUUUUUUUUUUUUUCACUGUUCUGGGCAAUUUAACCCUUCAAGGACACCUGAGAAGGGGAGAGCUUUUUUUUCUCUUUCUUUCCUCCCCCUGCCAGCAGUUACCAUGGAGCCCAACAGGUAACUUCUCUUAUCUUAGAAAUGGAGACACCUCUAUGAAUCCUCAGCUCAAGGCCAGAGGGCUUGUUUACAUAUUUUUGUGAAAAACUAGGGAGGAGGUGUCUAGCAUCUGGAGUUCUGAUUUUUCCAGGCAAGUGGCCAAGUAAAACCAAGCAACACAAAAAGAGGAAGCUUAUCUACAUUAAAUUUUGUUGUAGAGACUCUUUUGCUGAUAGUCCUAAAAUCAGCCUUGGUGAAGAUUUCUGGAGAAGAUUCUCACUAAGUAGGACUGGCCUCAAACUUGUGAUCUUCCUGCCUCAAAAAGGAAGGGACUACAGGCACAUGCUAUUCACCCAGUCAAAAACAUUCAAAGAAGUUCUUAGCAGCAUUGUUCCUGGUAUAAAGAACUGAACCCAUUCAAAAGUCCAUCAACAGAAGACUGCAAACUAACUGGUAAGUGGACACAAUUGAAUAAUACCCAGCAAUAAAAAUAACUGGAUGAUAGCUACGAGCCUCAACAUGGAAGAAUUGGAUCUGGGAAGUGAUGUUGAGGAGAAAAAAAAAAAAAACAAAGCAAAGUAACAAUUUUCAGAUGAAUACAUGCAGUUAUGAUACCAUUUCUACAAACUUCAAAAACAAGCAAAACAAAGAAUGUAUACAUACA